AGAGUUUGAUCCUGGCUCAGAAUGAACGCUGGCGGCGUGCCUAACACAUGCAAGUCGAACGAGAACGGGGUCUUCGGAUCCCUAGUACAGUGGCGAACGGGUGAGUAACGCGUAGGUAACCUGCACUCGAGUGUGGAAUAACCUGGCGAAAGCUGGGCUAAUACCGCAUGAUAUCUCCAGGUCUUCGGGCCGGGAGAUCAAAGGUGGCGAGCUUCGAGCGCUGCCGCUCGAGAAGGGGCCUGCGUCCCAUUAGCUAGUUGGUGGGGUAAUGGCUCACCAAGGCCGCGAUGGGUAGCCGAGCUGAGAGGCUGACCGGCCACACUGGAACUGAGACACGGUCCAGACUCCUACGGGAGGCAGCAGUGGGGAGUUUUGCGCAAUGGGGGAAACCCUGACGCAGCGACGCCGCGUGGGCGAUGAAGGCCUUCGGGUCGUAAAGCCCUGUCAAGCGGGACGAAACGCAGAGGUUUGAAUAGGGCCUCUGUCUGACGGUACCGCUGGAGGAAGCCCCGGCCAACUCCGUGCCAGCAGCCGCGGUAAUACGGAGGGGGCGAGCGUUAUUCGGAAUUAUUGGGCGUAAAGGGCGUGUAGGCGGCUUCGUGUGUCUCUUGUGAAAGCCCUCGGCUCAACCGGGGAACUGCAGGAGAAACUGCGGAGCUCGAGUCCGGGAGAGGAGAGCGGAAUUCCCAGUGUAGCGGUGAAAUGCGUAGAUAUUGGGAGGAACACCGGUGGCGAAGGCGGCUCUCUGGACCGGUACUGACGCUGAGACGCGAAAGCUAGGGGAGCAAACGGGAUUAGAUACCCCGGUAGUCCUAGCCCUAAACGAUGAGCACUUGGUGUGGCGGGUAUCGACCCCUGCCGUGCCGAAGUUAACGCAUUAAGUGCUCCGCCUGGGGAGUACGGCCGCAAGGCUGAAACUCAAAGGAAUUGACGG
rnacentral:rRNA from 1 species